rnacentral:rRNA from 1 species
UACGUAGGGGGCAAGCGUUGUCCGGAAUCAUUGGGCGUAAAGCGCGUGUAGGCGGCUCGGUAAGUCUGCUGUGAAAGUCCAGGGCUCAACCCUGGGAUGCCGGUGGAUACUGUCGAGCUCGAGUCCGGAAGAGGAGAGUGGAAUUCCUGGUGUAGCGGUGAAAUGCGCAGAUAUCGAGGAAGAACACCUAUGGCGAAGGCAGCUCUCUGGGACGGUACUGACGCUGAGACGCGAAAGCGUGGGGAGCGAACAGG